UACGUAGGCAGCAAGCGUUGUUCGGAGUUACUGGGCGUAAAGGGUGUGUAGGCGGUUCUUUAAGUUUGGUGUGAAAUCUCCCGGCUCAACUGGGAGGGUGCGCCGAAUACUGAGGGACUUCGAGUGCGGGAGAGGAAAGUGGAAUUCCUGGUGUAGCGGUGAAAUGCGUAGAUAUCAGGAGGAACACCGGUGGUGUAGACGGCUUUCUGGACCGUAACUGACGCUGAGACACGAAAGCGUGGGUAGCAAACAGG
rnacentral:rRNA from 1 species